CGGGCCCGGCCGAGCGGCAGCCCCUGCCCUGGAGGGUGGUCUCCAGGGACCAAGGCGUGGCGGGCGGUGCGGAGAGGCGCGGCACAGAUGGCUACAUCAGAGGGUCUGUUGCUUGUUUCUAGAUUGUCAGCGGGGAUCCACUCCCGUGCGGAAUUUCUCCACAUAUUCAGAACGUCCUAAAAGCUCCACAAAAUCUUCAUCAUGAGUGAUUACCAGAAGCUGGAAGUUACGCUGCUUUACUUGGGUGAGUUGGCUCCCCAGGCUUUUGAGAUACCUGCCUUUUGUCCAGCACUGCAUCGUCCUCGCAUAUCCAAGGCUGUGUCUCCCUUCAGCAUCACCACUCGGCUUUUAGCAGACUGAAGCCAUGGUUUUUAGUUUUGUCUCUAGUGAUGAGCAGAAAAGAGGGAUGAGGAAGAGGCUUUACUGGUCCAACCAGAAAGAGAAGCUAAGAACCCAUGACUGGAUUCUCUCCCUUGGACACCCCACAGACCAAUAUCUCACCUUCCAGGAGAAGACCCUUCCAGCUCUUGCUUCUUUAAACCUAUUAACUUAGUUUUCUUUAGCUAGACUCCCAAACAUCAGCUUUUACAAUUCAGCCUAUGGUUCAAUCACUAUGGCAAGAUAAACAUUUGUUUAGGUGUGAAAC
rnacentral:lncRNA from 1 species